rnacentral:rRNA from 1 species
AUUGAACGCUGGCGGCAUGCUUUACACAUGCAAGUCGAACGGUAACAGGUUAAGCUGACGAGUGGCGAACGGGUGAGUAAUGCAUCGGAACGUGCCCGGUCGUGGGGGAUAACACUUCGAAAGAAGUGCUAAUACCGCAUACGAUCUGAGGAUGAAAGCGGGGGACCGUAAGGCCUCGCGCGAUCGGAGCGGCCGAUGUCAGAUUAGGUAGUUGGUGGGGUAAAGGCCUACCAAGCCGACGAUCUGUAGCUGGUCUGAGAGGACGACCAGCCACACUGGGACUGAGACACGGCCCAGACUCCUACGGGAGGCAGCAGUGGGGAAUUUUGGACAAUGGGCGCAAGCCUGAUCCAGCAAUGCCGCGUGCAGGAAGAAGGCCUUCGGGUUGUAAACUGCUUUUGUACGGAGCGAAAAGGCUCUCUCUAAUACAGGGGGUUGGUGACGGUACCGUAAGAAUAAGCACCGGCUAACUACGUGCCAGCAGCCGCAGUAAAAC